UGGAGUAUGAUAACUCUCUCUGUUCCCCACUGGGUCUUACAGUCGAUUAUUCUGUCUUAUAAUGGAACUUCUUAGUUCUUAUAAAAGUAUAGGAUAAUUUUGAAGAAAAUCUGAAUUAAUUCAUGUAUUUUGGAGCAUAGAGACAGUUUUUCACACAGUUAAAAGUCACUAUCCCAUACCUUGAUGUGAAGCAGAAGGAUUAUGUUUUGCGAAUUUUUGCCUGCAUAAUUUUUAGAAAAUAAAUCCUUAACGACACAUAAAUUGCAUAAAGUAGAGGUAUCGUGACUUGGUGAAUUAUGAAAGUUUCUAAUGUAUUAGUUUUAUGAGUACUUUAGUUUGACAUAAGGACUCAAAGGAAAGAGCAGACAGCUAAAAAAUCAACAACAACCACAUAGAUAUAACCGGGAGUACUUUAAUACUCGAGUGUGCAUUAUAUUUUACACGCCCUAAAUUAGUUUUGUGUUGGUCCUUAUUUAGGAACUCAGUCCGGUCCCACUUGUUAGUCCUUAAAGAAGAUAAAAUCGAUCCUUUGUGACGCCAAUGAGGGACCGACAGUUAAAGACCGGUGCUAAGACUGGACUGGACUGAUUAAAUAAGGACCGACACAACACUAGCCUUAAUAUUUAAGAAGUUGUGUUACAAAUUAAGAGUAGGUGUAUUGACUAUAUAAUGUGUGUGAGUAUAAUUCUUAAUUUAUUGUUUGUUAAGAAAAUUUUGGAAGAAAAUUUAAACUAAAUGGAAUAUUACAUUCCAGAUUAAUCAUUUUUACUCAUAACUGGCCAUUGGAUCAUAUUUGGGACUGCAUCCAGAUUAUGAUAAUUAUUUAUCCAGGACGAUGUCAAUUAAUGUGAACCCAAGGGAUUAAUUAAAUAUGGGUUUGAUUCAAUCAUCAACUUCUGAAUGUUUCUAUAUUGUACAAAGCAGUUCAAUAUUUCUUGAAAUCAAUGGGAAAACAACUAUUAAUCGAUAUUAUGUUAUGUGAAUAUGUGUUAUAUUUGAAUUGUAUGAUUUAUAUUAAAAUUAUA
rnacentral:lncRNA from 1 species